rnacentral:tRNA from 1 species
AGCAGCUUGGCGCAGUGGAAGCGCGGUAUGUCUCUACUCCACCUGCAACUCAAUACCAGAGUACUAACUCAUCACAGCCGGGCUCAUAACCCGGAGGUCACUGGAUCGAAACCAGUAGCUGCUA